rnacentral:rRNA from 1 species
CGGUUGAUCCUGCCGGAGGUCACUGCUAUUGGGAUUCGACUAAGCCAUGCGAGUCGAGAGGGUUCGGCCCUCGGCCGACGGCUCAGUAACACGUGGAUAAUCUGCCCUUAGGUGGAGGAUACCCUCGGGAAACUGAGAAUAAUACUCCAUAGGCCUAGGAUGCUGGAAUGCACCUAGGCUGAAAGUUCCGGCGCCUAAGGAUGAGUCUGCGGACUAUCAGGUUGUAGUCAGGGUAAAGACCUGACUAGCCUACGACGGAUACGGGUUGUGAGAGCAAUAACCCGGAGAUGAUAUCUGAGACACGAUAUCAGGCCCUACGGGGCGCAGCAGGCGCGAAAACUUCACACUGUGCGAAAGCACGAUGAGGGAAUCCCAAGUGCUUGCACGUAAGUGUAAGCUGUUUUUCUGUCUAAAACACAGAGAGAGUAAGGGCUGGGUAAGACGGGUGCCAGCCGCCGCGGUAAUACCUGCAGCUCAAGUGGUGGCCGCUAUUAUUGGGCCUAAAACGUUCGUAGCCGGUUUAGUAAAUGCCUGGGUAAAUCGUGUAGCUUAACUAUACGAAUUCCGGGUAGACUGCUGAACUUGAGACCGGGAGAGGCUAGAGGUACUCCUGGGGUAGAGGUGAAAUUCUGUAAUCCUAGGGGGACCACCAGUGGCGAANGCGUCUAGCUAGAACGGAUCUGACGGUGAGGGACGAAGCCCUGGGGCGCGAACCGGAUUAGAUACCCGGGUAGUCCAGGGUGUAAACGCUGCUUGCUUGAUGUUAGUUGGGCUCCGAGCCCAAUUNGUGUCGGANAGAAGUUGUUAAGCAAGCUGCCUGGGAAGUACGGUCGCAAGACUGAAACUUAAGGAAUUGGCGGGGGAGCAC